rnacentral:tRNA from 1 species
GCGGGAAUAGUUCAAUGGUAGAGCGCAAGCUUCCCAAGCUUGAAGUUGCGGGUUCGAAUCCCGUUUCCCGCUCCA